UACUAACCCAUACAACAGGGCUACAACAAUUUUCACACAGUCUACUAGGUUAAACGAUUUUACUCCACUGCCUAAAAGAUGCCUCCGCUGGCGGUUUUGCUCGUCACCGGGUGUAUCUGUAGUUGGUCGCAGUCUUUGAUGGCCUUUUCAGGUGACGAAUUCAGAUACAUGAAUCGAACAUCCGUGGAAGGGAAACUCGACGCAUCGAACCCAAUCAGCGUGUACCAUGAAACGGGAGUGUGUAUGUAUGGUGUGUCAUUCUACGGCAUUCGCACACAAUUUGCCCUCUUCGGUGCUGCUCUCCGAUUCUCUCUCUCUCUCUCUCUCUCUCUCU